rnacentral:misc_RNA from 1 species
GAAGCAAUAAUGGCUCAAUCUAUAAACAUUCUCUUAGUGCUUACUACUCUCCUUGUCUUCGCUCCUUUUACCAUUGGUGGGAAGUCGACUGGAGGUUACCUUUACCCGCAGUUCUAUGACCAUUCCUGCCCUAAAGCUCAACAGAUAGUCAAGUCUAUUUUAGCCAAGGCAGUAGCAAAAGAAGCUCGCAUGGCAGCCUCAUUACUUAGGCUUCAUUUUCAUGACUGUUUUGUCAAGGGUUGUGAUGCAUCACUAUUGUUAGACAGCAGUGGAAGCAUAAUCAGUGAGAAGAGGUCUAAUCCAAACCGAAACUCAGCUCGAGGAUUCGAAGUGAUUGAUGACAUUAAAGGUGCACUAGAGAAAGAGUGUCCUCAAAUAGUAUCUUGUGCUGAUAUUUUGGCCUUGGCAGCUAGAGAUUCCACUGUUCUUACAGGAGGACCUAGCUGGGAAGUACCAUUGGGAAGGAAGGACUCGAGAGGUGCAAGCUUGAGUGGUUCUAACAACAACAUUCCUGCUCCAAAUAACACAUUUCAAACCAUUCUUACCAAGUUCAAGCUUAAGGGCCUCAAUGUUGUUGAUCUUGUAGCCCUCUCUGGAAGCCACACAAUCGGGAAUGCUCGAUGUACCAGCUUCAGGCAGAGGCUGUACAACCAGUCUGGCAAUGGGCAACCUGACUACACACUAGAUCAAUCAUAUGCUGCACAAUUGCGUACCCGCUGCCCUAGAUCUGGAGGUGACCAAAACCUGUUUUUCUUGGAUUUUGUAAGUCCAACAAAGUUUGAUAACAGCUAUUUCAAGAACAUAUUGGCUUCAAAGGGUCUGCUGAAUUCUGAUCAAGUUCUCCUGACAAAGAGUGAAGCAUCCAUGGACCUGGUCAAGAAAUAUGCUGAGAACAAUAAACUAUUCUUUGAGCAGUUUGCCAAGUCAAUGAUUAAGAUGGGAAAUAUCUCUCCAUUGACAGGUCCAAGAGGAGAGGUUAGGAAGAAUUGCAGGAGAAUUAAUACUUGAUUGGACUACUUAAUUACUCAUCUACAAGUAAAGGCAUUGCGUCUGAUUUCCUAUUUAUGUUCUUGUCUUCCUUUCCUAAUUCUGAAGAAAAAUUCUAGUUCUCCAUUUUGUUGUUACUACCAGGCAGAAUUCUCUGCUCUUACAGGGGUUGAAUUCUGUGGUUUUUCUGCUGUGUACGCGUGGAAUUUCAGAUAUUUAAUUUCAUAAAUAGCUGAAUGAUAUUUUCACUGCAG